CUGCCAGGAGGUCAUUGCUAUUGGGGUCCGAUUUAGCCAUGCUAGUUGCACGAGUUCAUACUCGUGGCGAAAAGCUCAGUAACACGUGGCCAAACUACCCUACAGAGAACGAUAACCUCGGGAAACUGAGGCUAAUAGUUCAUACGGGAGUCAUGCUGGAAUGCCGACUCCCCGAAACGCUCAGGCGCUGUAGGAUGUGGCUGCGGCCGAUUAGGUAGACGGUGGGGUAACGGCCCACCGUGCCGAUAAUCGGUACGGGUUGUGAGAGCAAGAGCCCGGAGACGGAAUCUGAGACAAGAUUCCGGGCCCUACGGGGCGCAGCAGGCGCGAAACCUUUACACUGCACGCAAGUGCGAUAAGGGGACCCCAAGUGCGAGGGCAUAUAGUCCUCGCUUUUCUCGACUGUAAGGCGGUCGAGGAAUAAGAGCUGGGCAAGACCGGUGCCAGCCGCCGCGGUAAUACCGGCAGCUCAAGUGAUGACCGAUAUUAUUGGGCCUAAAGCGUCCGUAGCCGGCCACGAAGGUUCAUCGGGAAAUCCGCCAGCUCAACUGGCGGGCGUCCGGUGAAAACCACGUGGCUUGGGACCGGAAGGCUCGAGGGGUACGUCCGGGGUAGGAGUGAAAUCCCGUAAUCCUGGACGGACCACCGAUGGCGAAAGCACCUCGAGAAGACGGAUCCGACGGUGAGGGACGAAAGCUAGGGUCUCGAACCGGAUUAGAUACCCGGGUAGUCCUAGCUGUAAACGAUGCUCGCUAGGUGUGACACAGGCUACGAGCCUGUGUUGUGCCCUAGGGAAGCCGAGAAGCGAGCCGCC
rnacentral:rRNA from 1 species